rnacentral:lncRNA from 10 species
CAAUAUGUUGUAAGUACAGAGACCAAAGGCCUGAGUGUUGUGAGGAUCUGUAAAAAUGCAGAACCCUGAGAAUAUUGAGACAACUGACCAUCAUUUAAAGAUAUAUGUGAAUAUGAACAUAUUCUUUUUUUCUUUUUUAUUGUUAUAGAGACAGGGUCUUGCUAUGUCGUCCAGGCUGGACUACAGUGGCACCAUCAUAGUUCACUGCAGCCUCUACCUCCUGGGCUCAAGCAAUCCUCCCACCUCAGCCUUCUGAGUAGCAGGGACUAGAGACAUGUGCCACAAUGCCCACCUAAUUUUAAAAAAUGUUUUGCAAAGAUGGGGUGUAGCUAUUUUGCCCAGGCUGCUCUUGAACUCCUGGCCUCAAGUGAUUCUCCAGCCUCAGCCUCCCCAAGUGCUGGGAUUACAGGCAUGAGCCACUGUGCCUGGCAGGACAUAUUUCUUAAUGUAACAUGUUAAUACUUAUUUAGCCAUGUUAUUGUGGGAAAAUGAACACCAAUUAAUGUCCUCAGUAGAGAAGGGCAAUCAGCUUCUUGUUUAUCCAUAUACAUAUAACUAUGAUGCUGCAAGGACUAAAUAAAGGCCUAAUAACCACAUAAGCCAUAGAAAUUCAUGGGGCAGCAUCCAGUAGGAAAAGGAACUCUCACUUGAGAGUUG